GAUGAACGCUGGCGGCGUGCCUAAUACAUGCAAGUCGAGCGAACGGACGAGAAGCUUGCUUCUCUGAUGUUAGCGGCGGACGGGUGAGUAACACGUGGAUAACCUACCUAUAAGACUGGGAUAACUUCGGGAAACCGGAGCUAAUACCGGAUAAUAUUUUGAACCGCAUGAUUCAAAAGUGAAAGACGGUCUUGCUGUCACUUAUAGAUGGAUCCGCGCUGCAUUAGCUAGUUGGUAAGGUAACGGCUUACCAAGGCAACGAUGCAUAGCCGACCUGAGAGGGUGAUCGGCCACACUGGAACUGAGACACGGUCCAGACUCCUACGGGAGGCAGCAGUAGGGAAUCUUCCGCAAUGGGCGAAAGCCUGACGGAGCAACGCCGCGUGAGUGAUGAAGGUCUUCGGAUCGUAAAACUCUGUUAUUAGGGAAGAACAUAUGUGUAAGUAACUGUGCCCAUCUUGACGGUACCUAAUCAGAAAGCCACGGCUAACUACGU
rnacentral:rRNA from 1 species